AAUCAUUCCAAUCUUUCAUCCAUUUUUUUCUCUCGCCCAUUUCAAAAGAACCCUAAUUUCCCCUCAUUAUCUAUCGCCGUCUCUGUUCAAUCCUCAACACGUCUUCCUUGAUUGUAAAACGAUAUCUGAUAAUCAACAAGAAGAUGACAUAUUAAGAAGAAAGGUACGAAGGGAACGGUAAAGAUGUUGAAACCUUUCACGGCGGAGGCUCUUCUCCUUCGGCUGGAGCCAACGACGACGGCGGCUGCGGCACCGAAGAGUUUAGCGAUUCUAAGUCACAGCUUCCAUGUGAAUUUUUGGGUUAGAGCGUUGCUUCUGUUAGCUUGCAGGUAACACGUCCUUCGACUACACGUCCUUCGACUACACGUCCUUCGACUGAAAUAAUGUUCUUUUAGCUUGCACGUACAAGUAAAAAUACCAUGUAAAUGAUAAAUUUAGCCAACUUAGAUGUAGAAUAAUGUUCUUUUGUGCUUAAAUAUGUCUAUGAAGGUAUAGGACCUGAGUUUGUUUGAAUUAAACUUAUAUAUGUGCGAUUUUA
rnacentral:lncRNA from 1 species